rnacentral:rRNA from 1 species
UCGCCGCCGACGACGUCGCGAGAAGUCCACUGAACCUUAUCAUUUAGAGGAAGGAGAAGUCGUAACAAGGUUUCCGUAGGUGAACCUGCGGAAGGAUCAUUGUCGAUACCUGCAAAGCAGAACGACCCGCGAACCGUUUUCCAACACCCGGGAUACCGGGGGGCGUCCAGCCGCUCGGUAGCCCAAGGCUCCGGACGUCGAGGGUGCAACCCACCUCCGGCGGAUGGAGCUUCAAACAAACCCCGGCGCGCGAAGCGCCAAGGUACUCCAACAAUAGGGCAUGCUCCCGUAGCCCUGGGUUCCAGUGUGCUCGGGUUGCUGUUCAAUGUCAUAAAGUCUAAACGACUUCGAGUCUUUGACGCAAGUUGCGCCCGAAGCCUCGGCUGAGGGCACGUCUGCCUGGGUGUCACACAUCGCGUUGCCUCCAAMCCUUUGCCCUCGAAAGUUGCGGCGAUGGUUGUUUGGAUGCGGAAGCUGGCCUCCCGUGACCUCGAGCCACGGAUGGCCCAAAUACGUGCUAGGGAAGCGAAGCGCCACGGCAUUCGGUGGUUGAUCCAAGCCCCAGAAACGGUGCCGGUGGUGGCCGCAUUUGUUCCCAGCCUACGACCCUAAACGUUAACCAACGCGACCUCAGGUCAGGCGGGGCUACCCGCUGAGUUUAAGCAUAUCAAUAAGCGGAGG